UACGGAGGGUGCAAGCGUUAUCCGGAUUCACUGGGUUUAAAGGGUGUGUAGGCGGGUAUAUAAGUCAGUGGUGAAAUCUCCGGGCUCAACCCGGAAACUGCCAUUGAUACUAUGUGUCUUGAAUUUUGUUGAGGAGGGCGGAAUAUGUCAUGUAGCGGUGAAAUGCUUAGAUAUGACAUAGAACACCGAUUGCGAAGGCAGCUCUCUAAGCAAACAUUGACGCUGAGGCACGAAAGCGUGGGGAUCAAACAGG
rnacentral:rRNA from 1 species